rnacentral:rRNA from 1 species
UAACGAUACGGGACUCAUCCGAGGCCCCGUAAUCGGAAUGAGUACACUUUAAAUCCUUUAACGAGGACCCAUUGGAGGGCAAGUCUGGUGCCAGCAGCCGCGGUAAUUCCAGCUCCAAUAGCGUAUAUUAAAGUUGUUGCGGUUAAAAAGCUCGUAGUUGAAUCUGUGUGCCACGCUGUCGGUUCAUCGCUCGCGAUGUUUAACUGACAUGAUUGUGGGACGUCCUACCGGUGGGCUUAGCCUUUCGGGGCGGUCCAGCUAAUAUCCCAUCGCGGUGCUCUUCAUCGAGUGUCGAGGUGGGCCGGUACGUUUACUUUGAACAAAUUAGAGUGCUCAAAGCAGGCUAUGUUCGCCUGAAUAUUUUUUGCAUGGAAUAAUGGAAUAGGACCUCGGUUCUAUUUUGUUGGUUUUCGGAACCCCGAGGUAAUGAUUAAUAGGGACAGAUGGGGGCAUUCGUAUUGCGACGUUAGAGGUGAAAUUCUUGGAUCGUCGCAAGACGGACAGAAGCGAAAGCAUUUGCCAAAAAUGUUUUCAUUAAUCAAGAACGAAAGUUAGAGGUUCGAAGGCGAUCAGAUACCGCCCUAGUUCUAACCAUAAACGAUGCCAGCUAGCGAUCCGCCGAAGUUCCUCCGAUGACUCGGCGGGCAGCUUCCGGGAAACCAAAGCUUUUGGGUUCCGGGGGAAGUAUGGUUGCAAAGCUGAAACUUAAAGGAAUUGACGGAAGGGCACCACCAGGAGUGGAGCCUGCGGCUUAAUUUGACUCAACAC